rnacentral:rRNA from 1 species
GGUGAUGAUGGCAGAGAGGUCACACCCGUUCCAUACCGAACACGGAAGUUAAGCUCUCUAGCGCCGAUGGUAGUUGGGACCUUGUCCCUGUGAGAGUAGGACGUCGCCAAGC